GGGGCCUCAGCCGUGGUCCUUCAGCGGCGCGCUGCUCGGCCUCCUGCGCCGCCCCACAAGGGACUCGUAGCUGGCGAGAGUCAGGGCGGUUGUCAGACGCCUCUCAUGUUACCUCACGGAUGCCUCACUGCUGUAGGAAACCGCCGGCCCUCAGCCGGAAGCAAAGCCACGCGUGAACCCCUGAAGACCUGAGGGGUGUUUGAUAGGCACAAGCGUUCAGGCUGGUAUCUGUAUUCUCUAUUCAAGAUAAUCCACGCUGUUGGGAAGAAGAGCAGUAGUAAUGGAAAUCGCAGUGAAAAAACCUUUCUGAACCCCAGUUCCACCUGAGAAGGAUGCUCAGCAAAUCAAUGAGAUGCACCAAAACCUGCAGCGCCUGUAGCCAGCAUCAGUCACCAGAAAGGGCCCAGUUCUUCUCCACGACAACGCCUGACUGCACAUGGCACAACCAGCGCAUCAGAAGUGGAAUGAAUCAGGCUACCAAGUUUUGCCUCCAUAUUCAGCUGACCUCUCACCAGCCGCUUGCC